GGUUGAUCCUGGCAGUAGUCAUAUGCUUGUCUCAAAGAUUAAGCCGUGCAUGUCUAAGUAUGAACUAAUUCACAUUGUGAAACUGCGGAUGGCUCAUUAAAUCAGUUAUAGUUUUUUUGAUGGUACCAUACUACUCGGAUAACUGUAUUAAUUCUAGAGCUAAUACAUGCACCAAGUCCCGACUCUUUGGAAGGGAUGCAUUUUUUAGAUAAAAGGCCGGCGCGGGCUUGCCCGCUUCUCCAGUGAAUCAUGAUAACUCGACGGAUCGCAUAGCCCUUGUGCUGGCAUUGCUU
rnacentral:rRNA from 1 species